GGACGGGGGUGCCUAUAAUGCAAGUCGAGCGGACAGAAAGGGACUUGGUCCCUUAUGUUUUCGCCGCCACAGGGGUGUAUCACAUGUGUAACCUGUAUGUUAUACUGGGAUAUCUCCCCGAAAACCCAGCUCUUACCCGAUAUAUUCUGGUACCCCUCGGGUUGGAGCUGUGAAACAGUUUCUGCGGUGACUUACUAAUGUGCCCCCGCCGCAUUAUAUAUAUGUUGAGGUAACACCUCACCCCAGCGACAAUAUGCAUACCACAUCAGAGGGGGAUCUCCCACACUGUGACUCAGACACAGCCCCCACACUUACAGGAGGCGCCACUAUGGAAUCUUCUCCACUGUGCGAAAAUCUGAGAGAGCACCACCCCGCGAGUGAGAAAAGUUUUUUGAUAUCAAAAAUCUGUUGUGUGGGGAAAAAACAUGUACAAGUAACUCUGUGUGCCUUUUCAGUACCCCUUAUUAAAACCCCACCUAACUACAUGUCCCCACCCCCGCUAAUAUACAUGUGGGGAGCGUUUUCCCGAAUUUUUGUGCGUAUAAAGCGCGCACGCGGUGUCUUUUAUCUGAGAUGAAAAACCCCGGCUCAACCCCGGAGGGUCAUUUUGAACUGUGGGACUUUUGUGUGCAAAAGAAGAGUGUAAUUUUCCAUGUGUCGCUGAAAAGUGUAUAGAUAUGUAGAAAAACCCCUGUGGAAAGCGACACUCUGGGCUGUGACUCAGACUCAGAAGCGAAAACGCGUGGAGAGCACACGAUUAUAUAUACCCGUUGUUCUACA
rnacentral:rRNA from 1 species